UUAUGGCUCAGGAUGAACGCUGGCGGCGUGCUUAACACAUGCAAGUCGAACGGAGUAAUAUGAAGUUUCGGACGGAUAUUACUAGUGGCGGACGGGUGAGUAACGCGUGGGUAACCUACCUCGUACAGGGGGAUAACAGUUGGAAACGACUGCUAACACCGCAUAACAAGUUGGGACCGCAUGAUCCUAACUUCAAAUAUUUAUAGGUAUGGGAUGGGCCCGCGUCUGAUUAGCUAGUUGGUGGGGUAAUGGCCUACCAAGGCGACGAUCAGUAGCCGGCUUGAGAGAGUGACCGGCCACAUUGGGACUGAGACGCGGCCCAAACUCCUACGGGAGGCAGCAGUGGGGAAUAUUGGACAAUGGGGGCAACCCUGAUCCAGCGAACCGCCGCGUGAGUGAAGAAGUAUUUCGGUAUGUAAAGCUCUAUCAGCAGGGAAGAUAAUGACAGUACCUGACUAAGAAGCCCCGGCUAACUACGUGCCAGCCGCAGC
rnacentral:rRNA from 1 species